rnacentral:lncRNA from 1 species
UAGAUUAAUAUCCAGUCACUUUGAAUUGCAACCCGCUGACGCUCGUAUAAAUCGUCCCUUUUCUUUUUGCUGGCGUGACGCAACUGAGCCACUAAGCGCGCGGCAAUUCUAAACCGCAAAUCUUUACGUCGUGCUGAUUUUUUUUCUUCUUUCCUUUUGUGUGUUUGUGUGUGUCUAUUUUGUUGGGAAAGGGUUGUAUAAUAACAGACGGCUACUUGAAACCGCGAUGACAAAAAAACAGCAGCAAAGGGGGUGGUCAGAAUUCAAGAAGAAGAAAAAAAAUCCAAGGCCUCCCUCUCGUGUUCAUCGCGUAUAGCUACUUCAUGCUGUCGUUUGAUCGUUCAUUGAAAUCAAGAUGUUCUACAGCUUUGGGCAAAAAAUGAUGGCCGAUUGGCUGUCAUGCGUGCCGGGAAAAAACCAGUCAGCCAACUGCUGGCAUCUGUAUACAACAUUACACAUACAAUUGCAACAGUUGGUCGACAUGUUGUAACUUCUUUUUUUUUUUUUGAAUAUUCAUUUCGGCUACGGUCGAAUUGUUUUAUAACGACGUAGCGAUUACAACUGUCAAAAAUACGAAAAGAAAAAAUUCCUGCAUUUUAUACCCAACCGCUCUGGUUAUCCCAAAAAAAGAAGUCCCCGACAGAGAAUCGUGAUCGAUGUUCGUCUCUUGCACACCACAAAGAUUAGAUAACGGCCUGACCUUAUUUCUAUUAUACUUCGUUUUCUUAUUGUUUUUCUUUUGAUUAUUCUAUUGUUUUUGUUUUCCUGGCCUUUAGACAGAGAGACAAGCCAGAAAACAAAUGAAAUUAUUCGAAGGCGUCACUCAAGUCUGUUCACCUACAAACUUUUUCAUCAGAAAGGGUGUGGCCGCACUUGGUGAAGAGUGGGCCCCACUCUGUUUCGCAGCACCUAUUACGUAGUUCUCAUUAACAAUCGAUUGCGUACAACAUCCAAUUCAUUCUCAAUGUGUCAACGUGCUGAAAACAAAAGGAGAAAUGUCACGUGUGUCUGAUUGCAAUGUUAGUGCUACUCAGGCUUUACUUUAACGAAACUUCUUUCUUUUUUGUUUUCGAUUUUUCGUUGAACGAAUGCGCACACAAGGGCGUGAGUGGAAUUCUGAUUUCGCCGAGUAGCCAUGGAAUGACUGAUAGCUUUUUUUUUUCUUCUUCUUCUGGUGCUUUCUACUUUUCAAUUUGCUAUAUUUGCUUUCACGCUGAAAUUCGAAACGAAAACAACAAGUUAGACGUGCAGUAUCUCUGCUAAGGUCACAGCGGACGAUUACGUGUACAGCGUUACACGCAGAGAUUGGCAACCACACCCAACAUUUUUGGCAGCGUGCCCAAAGAGCGGUUGACUCGGAAUCGUGCUGCGCAUUUCAAAACGAGAUUGAUAUGGAAAAUCCAAGCGAAACCGAAAAAAAACAAAAACAAUGCUGGGGACGCUCUGGAUGGGUUACAACGCGGAGAACCUAACAAUAUUGACGCAACCAUCGUAAUACAUUUACGCGCGUCUAGAAUGUCGUCCUUUUUUGUAAACGCCUUUUUUUUUGCGCAUUGAAAUCCCCCCUUGUUUUUUUUCAAUUCAAAGUGCGUCAUUGCUAAAUGAAAUUUGACUUGGCUUUGAAGAUACGCUAAAAUGAAAUUGGGGAAAACAAAAAUCAGGACAAUUUCAAAAAAAGGACGCAAAAAGAAGUCGUGAAGCAACUAGUCUAACGGUAAACCAUUCAGAGGAACAAAAGACGUCAUGUUUAGGGCAACAUCAAUACGUUUAGAAUAAAAAAAGAGCGUCCAAUUAAAAGACGAACAUCUCGGCCUAAUUAUUUCUUUCAAUUUUUAACUCUGAAAGUCUGACAGUUUGAGCGCAAAAGGAAGAUCGUUCUUUGCAACAAGAAUGAAGGGAGGAAAGUCCACUUCCAGUUUAUUUUAAACAUGAAUAAUAUAAGAUAAAAAUAUUGAAAAUCUUUUGAGAGGGAGCUAUUGAGGCAGGAGGCGUUGAAAGAAUCCGGUUAUUCCAUGUCAAUGAACUAAAAUUGUCCUUUUCAAUCAUCCCGGAUUGUCUCAAGCAAACGGAGGUUAUAGAAGAAAAGGGAAUCAAAGACAAACACAAACAACUUGAAAUAAGGAAAAAAUUGAAUUAGAUAAAGAGAUUACGUUCGUCCCCAGGAAUCGACCACGUCAAGUUCAACGACCGUCCGCCGGAAACGACGACCCACUGCCCAAACGCACCAUCACAAACCAUUUGAAUUGAUUCGAUUGUUUUCUUGAAAACAAAAACAAAAAACAUUUGCUUCUGUGUAGCUUCUGCUUGUAUCACACACGUAAUACAAUCUGAUGUACCACAUU